GGAUGCGAUCAUACCAGCACUAAAACACCAAAUCCCAUCAGAACUCUGAAGUUAAGCGUGCUUGGGUGAGAGUGGUACUAGGAUGGGUGACCUCCUGGGAAGUCGUCGUGUUCUUUCCC
rfam:Triticum urartu cultivar G1812 contig1160098, whole genome shotgun sequence.